GCAUUCGUAGCUCAACCAGGAUAGAGCAAGUCUCCCAGGGCAGAUGCAGGUUCGAUCCCUGCCGGGUGCACCA
rnacentral:tRNA from 1 species